AGUAGUGAUAUACUUGUCUCAAAGCUUAAGCCAUGCAAGUAUCAGUACAAACUGAACUAAAGUGAAACCGCCAAAAGCUCAGUAAAUCAGUUCUCAUUUCACGAGAUAAAGAAUUACAAAAUGAAUAACCACGGUAAUUCUGGAGCUAAUACAUGCAACACAAAAAUAUUUCCCCCAUGCAAAUGCGGGGAAAAAAAUGCUCUUAUUGUUCCACAAGACCAAUCGCCCCGUUCUCUCUUGGUAACACAAGGAGAAGGGCAUCGAUCUACACUCUAAAUAAUUCAAAUAGAUCGGACGAUCUAUCGGCGCUAUACCUUUUCAAAUGCCUAAUUUAUUAAACUUACGAUGGUACACUUUGUGUCCACCAUGGCCCUCAUGGGUAACGGAGAAUUGGGGUUCCACUCCGGAGAGGGAGCCUGAGAAACGGCUACCACAUCCAAGGAAGGCAGCAGGCACGCAAAUUACCCAAUCCCGGCACGGGGAGGUGGUGACAAUAAAUACCAAUACGGGACUCUUCUGAGGCCCCGUAAUUGGAAUGAGUGCACAUUAAACCCUUGAACAAGGAUCCAUUGGAGGGAAAGUCUGGUGCCAGCAGCCGCGGUAAAUCCAGCUCCAAUAGCGUAUAUUAAAUUUGCUGCGGUUAAAAAGCUCGUAGUUGGUACUACUACACUACUGCAACACUGUCGGUUCGCCGCCUGUCGGCGCGCGUUACUGGCAUGCUGUUGCUUGACCUGUCGGCUUGAAUAAGACAGGAGGGUCGCGCUCCCUCGUGUCCCCCAACCGGGCCUGUGUGAUUGUUCUCUUCCCCCAUUAUUCAUCCCAUCCUUUCGUGAGCCCUUGACUGAGUUUCGAUUGGCAUGGGGCCGACACGUCGACACUUUGAACAAAUUAGAGUGCUCAAAGCAAGCUAAAAAUUGCCGCCUGAAUAAUGGUGCAUAGAAUAAGAGAAAAGGACCUUGUUCGUUCUAUUCUGUUGGUCUCCGGAACACAGGGUAAUGAUCAAUAAGGACUGUCGGGGGCAAUCGUAUUGCGGCGUUAGAGGUGAAAUUCUUGGAUCGUCGCAAGACGCUCAAAAGCGAAAGCAAUUGCCAAGUAUGUCUCAAUUGAUCAAGAACGAAAGUUAGAGGCUCGAAGGCGAUCAGAUACCGCCCUAGUUCUAACCAUAAACGAUGCCAGCCAGCGAUCCGCCGAUGUUCUUUCUUUAUGAUGACUCGUGCGGGAAGCUCCUCCCCGGGAAACCAAAGCUUUCGGGUUCUGGGGGGAGUAUGGUUGCAAAGCUGAAACUUAAAGGAAUUGACGGAAGGGCACCACCAGGAGUGGAGCUUGCGGUUCAAUUUGACUCAACACGGGAAACCUCACCAGGUCAGGACAUUGAAAGGAUUGACAGAUUGAUGGCUCUUUCUCGAUUCUGUGGGUAGUGGUGCAUGGCCGUUCUUAGUUGGUGGAACGAUUUGUCUGGUUAAUUCUGAUAACGAACGAGACUCUAGCCUAUUAACUAGGCAGCCACGGUAUUGCGAGCUACCGGUGACCUCACAAUCUUCUUAAAGGGACAGGCGGCUUAUAGCUGCACGAGAUUGAGCAAUAACAGGUCAGUGAUGCCCUUAGAUGUCCUGGGCCGCACGCGUGCUACACUGAAAGAAUCAGCGUGUGUCUCCUAGGCUGAGAGGCCCGGGUAACCAGCUGAACCUCUUUCGUGCUAGGAAUUGGGGCUUGCAAUUCUUGCCCAUGAACGAGGAAUUCCCAGUAAGCGUGAGUCAUAAGCUUGCGUUGAUUACGUCCCUGCCCUUUGUACACACCGCCCGUCGCUACUACCGAUUGAAUGAUCUAGUGAGGUUCUCGGACCGGCGCUAAUCUUUGCUCGGCUUUGCUCUCCGGAGCGGGUCGGCAUCGAUGAACGUUGGAAAGAUGACCGAAUUUGAUCAUUUAGAGGAAGUAAAAGUCGUAACAAGGUUUCCGUAGGUGAACCUUUGGAAGGA
rnacentral:rRNA from 1 species